GUUUUUGUACGAGCAGUAAUAGGGGUUGUAUCACUGUGGUACACUUUUGGUAGCGCCACCAGACUAGAUGUUGGAAGUAACAGUGCCCCCACCCUCACCGUCCUGCCCCCCUCUAGUGAGGAGCUGUCCAGUACAACAACAGCCACACUGAUGUGUCUGGCCAACAAGGGCUUCCCCUCAGACUGGACCAUGAGCUGGAAAGUGGACGGCAACAGCAAGAAGCAGGAGGCCAGUCCCGGGGUCCUGGAGAAGGACGGUCUGUAUAGCUGGAGCAGCACCCUGACUCUCACUGCCCAGGAGUGGACCAAGGCAGGAGAGGUGACCUGUGAAGCACAACAGAUAUCCCAGACUCCGGUCACCAAGACCCUGAGGAGGGCUGACUGUUCUGGGUAGAACCCCUCAGUCACACACCCCUGUGGAGAGAGGACGCUGGUUCCUCAGCUUUGACUUGCUUUGUUCUAAGAUCAGUUGUUCUCUGAUUUAGUGAUCACUCUCGUGUAGACUAACAGGGGGCUUGGAUUGAGUUUGUGUCAAUCCAUUCUGUAGACUGAGAUUCUGUUCGUUUUAGAUUUGAUGUGAUCUGCUUUUAUUCACUAUCAUGUUCGCUUUGAUUCUUCGAUUAUGUAAUAAUCGAUUAAAAUAAAGUUUUCUUUUUGGAAUGCA